rnacentral:lncRNA from 10 species
UCUACUAAAAAUACAAAAAUUAACUGGGCAUGGUGGCACGUGCCUGUAGUCCCAGCUACUCGGGAGCCUGAGGCAGGCGAAUCACUUGAACCCAGGAGAAGGAGGUUGCAGUGAACCACGAUCAUGCCACUGCACUCCAGCUUGGCGACAGAGCGAGAUUCUGUCCCAAAAAAAAUAAAAUAAGUGACAAAGAGGAAAUUUGGCUGCACACAGACACACAAGGAGAAUGCCAUGCGAUGGAGGCAGAUAUUGGGGUGGUGCUCGCACAAGCCACAGCAUACCAACAAUUAUCAGCAAAC